rnacentral:rRNA from 1 species
CCUACGGGAGGCAGCAGUAGGGAAUCUUCCACAAUGGGCGAAAGCCUGAUGGAGCAACGCCGCGUGGGUGAAGAAGGUCUUCUGAUCGUAAAACCCUGUUGUUAGAGAAGAAAGUGCGUGCGAGUAACUGUUCACGUUUAGACGGUAUCUAACCAGAAAGCCACGCCUAACUACGUGCCAGCAGCCGCGGUAAUACGUAGGUGGCAAGCGUUAUCCGGAUUUAUUUGGAGUAAAGGGAACGCAGGCGGUCUGUUAAGUCUGGUGUGAAAGGCGUCGGCUUAACCGGAGUAGUGCAUUGGAAACUGGGAGACUGGAGUGCAGAAGAGGAGAGUGGAACUCGAGGUGUAGCGGUGAAAUGCGUAGAUAUAUGGAAGAACACCGGUGGCGAAAGCAGCUCUCUGGUCUGUAACUGACGCUGAGGUUCGAAAGCGUGGGUAGCAAACAGGAUUAGAUACCCUUGUAGUC